rnacentral:lncRNA from 1 species
GUCUUUGUCAGUGCAAUGAACAUUUUCCUCUAAUCUCUCCCGCCACCCAACUAACACAUCUCAGAACGUACACGUCACCCUCUCUCCUUCACAAAGCCAGACUUUUCUUCGUGUACGUGUCGCUCAGCGAUAGGUUGAAUGUAAAAUAUCGUACCCAUUAUUAUUCAUAUUUAUAUUAUUUAUAAAUAGGAUUGAUGCAACAUUAUUAAUUUAUUAUUCAUAUUUAUUUUCAAAAUUCGGAGGACACUCUCAUGUUAUUGGUUUGUUGCCCAGGUAUGUCAGUAUAUAUAAAAUACAAUUUUUUAACGUUAUACAAAAUACUAUUUGAAUAAUGUUUUAUUUUAUAUAUUACGAAAAUAAAAAAACAAUUAUAUGUUUUAUAAAAAAAUUAUUUCUCACCGAUACAGAC